rnacentral:rRNA from 1 species
AGUGAACGCUGGCGGUAGGCCUAACACAUGCAAGUCGAACGGCAGCACAGUAAGAGCUUGCUCUUACGGGUGGCGAGUGGCGGACGGGUGAGGAAUACAUCGCAAUCUACUUUUUCGUGGGGGAUAACGUAGGGAACCUUACGCUAAUACCGCAUACGACCUACGGGUGAAAGCAGGGAAUCUUCGGACCUUGCGCGAUUGAAUGAGCCGAUGUCGGAUUAGCUAGUUGGCGGGGUAAAGGCCCACCAAGGCGACGAUCCGUAGCUGGUCUGAGAGGAUGAUCAGCCACACUGGAACUGAGACACGGUCCAGACUCCUACGGGAGGCAGCAGUGGGGAAUAGUGGACAAUGGGCGCAAGCCUGAUCCAGCCAUACCGCGUGGGUGAAGAAGGCCUUCGGGUUGUAAAGCCCUUUUGUUGGGAAAGAAAAGCGGCAGGUUAAUACCCCGCUGUUCUGACGGUACCAAAAGAAUAAGCACCGGCUAACUUCGUG